rnacentral:rRNA from 1 species
UACGGAGGAUCCAAGCGUUAUCCGGAUUUAUUGGGCUUAAAGGGCGCGUAGGCGGCCUAUUAAGUCAGGGGUGAAAGACGGUAGCUUAACUAUCGCAGUGCCUUUGAUACUGAUGGGCUUGAAUAUACUAGAGGUAGGCGGAAUGUGACAAGUAGCGGUGAAAUGCAUAGAUAUGUCACAGAGCACCAAUUGCGAAGGCAGCUUACUAUGGUAUUAUUGACGCUGAGGCACGAAAGCGUGGGGAUCAAACAGG